UUUUCUACUAAACUUGGGUACUUCUUCUUUGAUGGUGUAGGGUUUUAUCAUGAGUUUGAUUCCCUUCAAAACUACUAUGAUGCCUUAAUCGAUGCCAAGAAGAUCAUCAACAAUCAAGAUCGUCAACUACUAUCAAGUUGGACUUUGUUAAGAAAGGUGGAAUACUAGCUAUAACUUUUCCCCAAAAGAUUUGAAUUUUCUGGAAAUUAGAGUUUGUGGAGGAAGCUUUAAAGUGGUUACAUAGUGUUGCACAUGGUAUUGUUGUUGUUGGUUGUGUUUUUCCCUCGGAACCAAUAAAUUUGCCAGGGGUUAUGAUGGUGCAACAUCAAAUGCAUGGUCAUGUGGUGUUUAGAAACUACUAAAAUCCCAUGGAAGAAGCAGCUGAAUGUUGGCAAUUCUACAUCAUCUAUUGACAAGUCUCAGAGGAAAGGAUGAUAUUAUACUUCAAUUCCACGUGUUGUUUAAUGCAAGGAUUAUGGUGCAGAUUGCGGUGUGAGGAAAGGAUGAUGGUGUUGUGCAUCUUCAUGUGGCAGUCAUACAACCUCUAUCGCAGCUGGAAAAAAUGGAAUUUC